rnacentral:rRNA from 1 species
UUCUGUUGUGACCUCUGUGCUAAAAACCAUAUCGGGACAGAGUGUAUCAGCAUAAUUUUUUGUGGGGCAUAUUCUUGCUUGGUGCUUGGGGAUAUUUGAGGCAUAUUUGUGUCCGUCGUUUUUAGGCCAGCUUGCUGGUACCCAAACGGUGUUCGCCAUUUGAGUAGGGCUCAGGCGUCCCCCAUUUAUGGGAUUUACGCAGAUGUGAGUGUAACCCCGUCACGGUCGCAUGCGACACGUGCUUUUCAAUUAGUUGGGUCCAGUUAAUGCUUUGGUACUCGUUCCCCAUGUAAAAGCCGGUCAGACCCGUGUUUAUCGUGUGCGCAAGUUUUUGGGUGUUAAAAACUUAAAAGCGAAAUUUUUGAAAGUAAAUGACUCUUUAGAGUUUGAUGUGCGAUCUUGUAAAAAAGUGUAGCAUGGCCCCAUUCUAACUGUUUACAGUAGGGUGGAGGAAGAGAAGAUGGUGAACUAUUCCUGAGCAGGACGAAGCCAGAGGAAACUCUGGUGGAAGUCCGAAGCGGCAAUCUGACGUGCAAAUCGAUCUUCUG